rnacentral:rRNA from 1 species
UACGUAGGUGGCGAGCGUUGUCCGGAUUUACUGGGCGUAAAGGGCGUGCAGGCGGUUUGUUAAGUGCAGGGUGAAAGCUCCCGGCUCAACUGGGAGAGGCCACCUGAUACUGCUGUGACUAGAAUCCAGUAGGGGAGUGUGGGACUCCUGGUGUAGCGGUGAAAUGCGCAGAUAUCAGGAGGAACACCAAUGGCGAAGGCAGCACUCUGGGACGUGACUGACGCUGAGACGCGAAAGCGUGGGGAGCAAACAGG